AUUGAACGCUGGCGGCAGGCCUAACACAUGCAAGUCGAACGAGUGGCGGCCGGGUGAGUAAUGUCUGGGAAACUGCCCGAUGGAGGGGGAUAACUAAUGGAAACGGUAGAUAAUACCGCAUACCAUCGGAUGUGCCCAGAUGGGAUUAGCUUGUAGGUGAGGUAACGGCUCACCUAGGCGACGAUCCCUAGCUGGUCUGAGAGGAUGACCCGCAACAAUGGAACUGUGACACGGUCCAGACUCCUACGGGAGGCAGAAGUGGGGAAGAUUGGACAAUGGGCGAAAUCCUGAUUCAGCCAUGCCGCGUGUAUGAUGAAGGCCUUCGGGUUGUAAAGGACUUUCAGCGGGGAGGCGUUACCCGCAGCAGAAGCACCGGCUAACUCCGUGCCAGCAGCCGCGGUAAUUC
rnacentral:rRNA from 1 species